rnacentral:lncRNA from 1 species
UUUUUUUUUUGUUUUUUUUUUUGUUUUUUUGUGUUUUUUUUGUCUUUUGUCUUUUUUGUUGUUGUUAUUAUUGUUGCUAUUUCUUGGGCCGCUCCCGUGGCAUAUGGAGAUUUGCACACAUAAGAAUCUCAGUAGAAGAUAAAUGAUUAUUUACUGAAGAAAUACUGCCCAAACUGAGGAAGUAUCAAAGAAGAAAACGUCUGUUUGAUGUGGCAUUUUCACUUUCACAUGGUAAGUGACAAUUUUCAAGGUUCAUUAAGUUUUGUAAAGUAUCACUUGAUUUCCUAAUUGCAAAAGUUUAAGGUUUUUCUCUCCCUUUUGGAUAUGAUAACAACCUAAAUAGAGCGGCCAGAUCAAAAAGAUGGUUAAAGUUGAUGGCACACAGCUAAUCACCCACUUCAGCAACCCCAACCUUAGGUCAUAAUUGAUUUUUCCUUCAAGCCACAGUAUGAAACUGAAGUUCUAUCCAAGAAUGCACAGAUACUUCUCUGCAAGUCCCUAGAUGGUAUUUUUUUUUUUUUUAUUUCCACUUUAAGGUCAACUGAGAAUGAACCUCCAUGAAAUUAUGUACUUACAGUUCUGCUACUGGGUUUGAGAAUUGUUCUUUAGUAGCAUAUUUAAAAAAAAUCAGAUCUCCAAAUUUCAACCAAAAUAAUAUGAGGGUCUUACUGUGUUUCCCCAUUAGAUGAAUAUAGCCCAAGAGACUGAAUUUCCAAACAGGACAGAUGUUGUACCCAGGUCUCACAUGCCCCACCCCCACUCGGCCUGCAGGUGCUGUGGUCCGAGGACACGCAUCCCCCACGCAUCCCCUUCACUCAUAUGGAAACACCAGUUAUAAGACGUUAAUAUUAAAAGAACUGCUUUAAUGACAGUCAGCUUCUGGGAUUGAAAAAAAUAAAACCCAAGCCCCCAAAUAUAAAGAAUGUAUUUGAGUCAAUUUACCUUUUCGUACCGACUAUUAAGAAAAAAUCUAUUUUUUUAUGUGUCUUUUUAUUCCCGCUCCCGUGGCAUAUGGAGGUUCCCACAUAUGCAGCCACUGGCCACAGCCACAGCCACAGCCAAAGUCACGAGGGACCCAAGCCGUGUCUGUGACAGCUUACGGCAGCCAGAUCCCUAAACCACUAAGCAGGGCCAGGGAUCAAACCAGCAACCUCAUGGAUCCCAGUCAGAUUUGUUUCUGCUGAGCCAUAAUGAGGAAUCCUCUACUUUGUUUUUUUUUUUUUUAAGUUUAAAUACUUCUUCCAAUGCCUAAAGUUCUUUGAACUGCUCUCUGUCAAUAAGUCUAUGUGAAAUAUCUUUUUCUAAAGUGGUCAGGCCCAUCAAGUUUGCUGGGCACAGUCUAAGCCUUUCAUAUCUGCUCCCAGUGACUCUGGACUUUGUAGGGCCACAAGGUGGUUGAGAUAACAGGGAGCCAAGGGAGGUGGCCUUCACAGGCAGCAAAGCCACCAAGCCCCUUGUCUGAGCCAUUCAGAGAAAGAGGUUUUAUUUUCUCCCUUUGCAAUACCAGAAUACUCUAAGGGGAUCUUCUAUCAAUAAUUCAUGAGCAGCCAAAGAACGUGAGCUAAUCAAUAACAAGUAAUGGUGAAACUCACAGCAGGUGCCACAGGACUGAUGGGAUGGCGCAUUAACAUCUGAUUAAACUUCCCGGGAAAUGUAAUUCUUCAUAAACCAAAGACCUAAAAUUAAACUUUUAACCUUAGGUUUAUAAAGUAUCUUUCCCAAGGAUGCAAAAAAAAAAAAAAGUUCAAAAAGCAUAUUUAAUGAAAACAAGAGGCUGAAAUGAGGAUUUCAAUAUGUGGGAGAUUUGGUCGAGAUCACAGAGCAGAAGAGAGUUAGUAUUGCUUUUUCCUCACACUUACCUAAAACAUUCUUAAUGAGAUUAUUUUUACCUACAUUUAACAAUUAUUUUCAGGUGCAAGCUAUACGGGCUUUACAAUACACUCGAGUUAUUUUCAACAGCCAAUUCCACAUAUUCAAGAAAGGAAUUCAGAUUACUCUCCAUCUUAUUUCUCUUUUUCUAGUAACUUCCUUUGUCAUUCAUAGCAAAUCAAUCAAAUCGCAUACUUAUGUGACGUCUCAGAAAGUCAAAUUAAUAAACGUCUAACUCUGGGUUCCCGUCACAGCUCAGCAGUUAAUGAACCCAUCUAGUAUCCCUGAGGAUGUGGGUUCGAUCCCUGGCCUUGCUCCGUGGGUUAAGGAUCCGGCACUGCUGUGACCUGUGGUGUAGGCUGUAGGUGCGAUGCGGAUCCCGCGUUGCUGUGGCUGUGGUGUAGGCUGGCAGCUACAGCUCUGAUUUGACCCCUAGCCAGGGAACCUCCAUAUGCCGCAGAUGCGGGCCUAAAAAAACAAAAAGACCAAAAAAAAAAAAAAAA